rnacentral:rRNA from 1 species
CUCGUAGUUGGAUUUCUGGCAGGAGGGGCCGGUCACACACUCUGUGCGUGAACUCGUGCCGUCUCUGGCCAUCCUCGGGGAGAUCCUGUUUGGCAUUAAGUUGUCGGGCAGGGGAUACCCGUCGUUUACUGUGAAAAAAUUAGAGUGUUUAAAGCAGGCUUAUGCCGUUGAAUAUAUUAGCAUGGAAUAAUAAGAUAGGACUUCGGAACUAUUUUGUUGGUUUGCGUUACGAAGUAAUGAUUAAUAGGGACAGUUGGGGGUAUUCGUAUUCCGUUGUCAGAGGUGAAAUUCUUGGAUUUCCGGAAGACGAACUACUGCGAAAGCAUUUACCAAGGAUGUUUUCAUUAAUCAAGAACGAAAGUUAGGGGAUCGAAGAUGAUUAGAUACCAUCGUAGUCUUAACCAUAAACUAUGCCGACUCGGGAUCGGAGGUUGUUUUUUGACUCCUUCGGCACCGUAUGAGAAAUCAAAGUCUUUGGGUUCCGGG